rfam:Methanosarcina acetivorans str. C2A, complete genome.
UGCCCUUUCCAUUUGGGGUAACCCUACCAGAAUGUGCGUCAUUAGUAAUGAUGGGGUGCAAAGCUUCUGGGACAAUGUGAGAACCUCUGAAAAUCCAGUUCAGAUAACUUGCUAGGGUAAGGGCUCCAUGGGAAA